CGCACAUUGCGCCCAUUAGUAUUCUAGUGGGCAUGCCUGUUCGAGCGUCAUUUCAACCCUCAAGCUCUGCUUGGUGUUGGGGAUCGGCGAGUCUUAGGACCAGCCGCCCCCUAAAUCUAGUGGCGGUCUCGCUGUAGCUUCCUCUGCGUAGUAGCACAACUCGCUCUGGAAAGCAGCGCGGCUCAGCCGUUAAACCCCCCAAUUUUUUAAGGUUGACCUCGGAUCAGGUAGGAAUACCCGCUGAACUUAA
rnacentral:misc_RNA from 1 species